GAUCCCGUUGCAUAGGGGUUAUAGCGUCCGCCUCGGAUGCGGGAGGUCGUGGGUUCAAUCCCCGGCUGAAUCA